UGUACUCUGAAUUAAGCAAGAUUUGUUUACAACCCUAUGAUCAAAUUAACAAAAAAAAAGAACAUUUAUAAACUAAAUACAACUAUAACACAAAAACUAGAAAUAAGAAUCUAUAAAAAUAGAGGAAAAAGAAAGACCACUUUUUUUUUUUUUUUUUUUUUUUUUUUUUUUUUUUUUACCUUUGAAUACCAAAAUCCUUCAUGGCCGAUGUAAUAGAUUUAUCAUGGUUGUAAAAAUCGGUUUAGGCGGCUGAUUAAUCGGCAUCUAGAUGCUUAGCGGACUCCAACCGCUUACGAAUAAGCAUUAUCGCAUAAGUUAAUCGUCCUUGGUCAAUAUCGGUCAAAGACGGUCCAAAUCGGUCCAAAUUGGAUUAAUUCGUUCCAAUUCGGACCCAAAUCGGACCAAGUCACCUUAGCUAACUCUAUAAUACCCACCAACUCAAAGGAGCUGACUAGCCCAAACUUAGUUAGGUUUGAUUCUCAAAGGAGCUGACUUCCCUUUUUAUAGAAUAAGUUUUUCCUUCAUCUCUUAUCCCACCAGCGAUGUGGAAAACUCUUAAAUCUUUAGUUUUUGUCAUAGCUCCCUCAAACACUCUUUAGUUCUAUAUAUACACAUAUCAGAUGACAUAUUUGAUUAUCCAAAAGCAGCAGAUCAAUACUCGCAAACACUAGUUUGAUACAUUGUUUCAAGUAGGCCGUGAACUUAAAAUCAAUCAUUGUUUUCCAUUCAUCACUUCUCCACCAGUUCUCUAUGCCAUUUGGGUGAAAUAUAAGGGGACAACGACGAUGACUCAAGUGAAUCAAAUUAGUCACAGAUUGGUGCUCCUACCCUGCUCGACUCCGAUUCCUGAAGCGAUCACUGACAUCUCUUUCAGCGCAGACUACCCCAUAGCUCUAUUAUCGGCAUCUCAAGCGAUCAACGGCUCCUUCACCAGUUAGUGUGUCGAUUAUCAGUAGCAAGAACAAAAUUUGAAUUGUGGUUUGAUGAGAAACGGAAAAAUUACUAGCGAAGUCCACCUGCUCGAUGAAAUGCCUGAGUGAGAUGUUGUUUCAUAUACCACGUUAUUGAUGGGUUUGUAAAGAGAAACAAGAUCAUGGGAGGGAAACAGACAGUCCUCCAUCACAUAAUGAGACAUUCAAAACAUAAAGAAAUAGACUAUUCAUUCUGAUUUAAGUGGAGAGGGCUCACAUUUUCCAAAUCUGAUUGUAGAAUUUAAUAAACUUUUAACAAGUUCUUUAAUUCAAAACUUGUAGUUUCAAGAAUUUGUGUGGAUGUUGCAGGGUGUUGCAUUGUAACAUCAUUGUAACAUGUAUUUGAAUUGGCUUUGUUUCACAAGAAUACUAGAAAAAUAGUCAAACCAUGUAGUUGAAUUGUUCUUAUUUACUUAUAUUUUUAUUAUUAAUGUUAUAUUUAUUAA